rnacentral:tRNA from 1 species
GGGUAGGUGGCUGAGCGGUUGAAAGCACCGGUCUUGAAAACCGACGAGGUUAAAAGCCUCCGUGGGUUCGAAUCCCACCCUGCCCGCCA